rnacentral:rRNA from 1 species
AACGAACGCUGGCGGCAUGCCUAACACAUGCAAGUCGAACGAGUACCUUCGGGUGCUAGUGGCGCACGGGUGAGUAACGCGUGGGAACCUGCCUUUCGGUACGGGACAACCGCGGGAAACUGCGGCUAAUACCGUAUACGCCCGUAUUUGGUCGACCAGGGGCGGGGAAAGAUUGAUCGCGGUUUGGGGGGCCCGGGUAGGAUUAGGUAGUUGGUGGGGUAAAGGCCUACCAAGCAUGCGAUCCGUAGCUGGUCUGAGAGGAUGAGCAGCCACACUGGGACUGAGACACGGCCCAGACUCCUACGGGAGGCAGCAGUGGGGAAUAUUGGACAAUGGGCGCAAGCCUGAUCCAGCAAUGCCGCGUGAGUGAUGAAGGCCUUAGGGUUGUAAAGCUCUUUCACACGCGACGAUGAUGACGGUAGCGUGAGAAGAAGCCCCGGCUAACUCCGUGCCAGCCGCCGCAGUAA